UACAGAGGUGCCCAAGCGUUGUUCGGAUUCACUGGGCGUAAAGGGCGCGUAGGCGGGUGUGCAAGUCUGCGGUGAAAGCCUCCAGCUUAACUGGAGAAGUGCCGUGGAUACUGCAUAUCUUGAGGAGGGUAGGGGCAUCUGGAACAUUGGGUGGAGCGGUGAAAUGCGUUGAUAUCCAAUGGAACUCCGGUGGCGAAGGCGAGGUGCUGGACCCUUUCUGACGCUGAGGCGCGAAAGCCAGGGGAGCAAACGGG
rnacentral:rRNA from 1 species